rnacentral:lncRNA from 1 species
GGGUAAGCAAGCAACUCAUUUUUAUUUGUCCAAAAUAUCCUUUCUCACGUUUAAGUGCAUUCGUCCUCAACCUAGUCGUUUGUAUGUUUAAAGGAAAUACGGGAUGUAAUAUCAUCCGAUUACUUCAUAUACUUUCAAAGAGGAUCUCAUUUCCGAUCUUACAUCAAUUGAAUUACGACGUAUGUUUGUGAAGAAAACAUGGGGUGUGACAACCGGUAUGUGCAAAAGAAGUACAAAAGUGUAGUAUGAGUACAAUCGACCCCAUAUACUCUGUAAGUUCCAAGCCUAACCUCGACGAAGUAGUAACGAGGCUAUGACAAGAUACACACUACAAACUUGUGCGGAUAUUAGUAGAAAAGAAAUAAUGCACUAAAGGAACAACUAAUUAACAUCACAAAUCCGAGAUAAGAAUGAAAACAUAAGGCCCCAGAAUGUCAGCACUACUCCGUUUCACAACACAAUACGGUAACAAAAAUCAACAGUCAAGGAUAAUCACAGUACAUUAUCUUUGUUGCGACGCGCAACCCGAUCCUUAUAUAUAAUACCAAUACCGUUCCGAACUCUUCUCAAUAUAAGUACUAUUGCAGCAUGUAACCCAAUCCUCAUAUAUGCAAUUUCUCUGUUGCAGCUUGUAACCCGAUCCCAUGUCAACAUAUAUAUCGUUGCAGUAUGCAACCCAUUCCCAUUGGUUCAACGAUAUCACAAUCAACUACGGCGUACCUCAAAACGUAGUAUAAAAGGGAAACUAAACGCAUAAGUUCUCCAAACAACCGAUAUAAUGAAGCAAAGGGAAGUAGAAUCAAGUAAGGCGAAUAAACGGGUAACGACAUAAGACAAGUAAAUCAUUUAUCCAAUAACAUGUAAACGUAUAAACCAAGUAAAGACGGACAACUAAUAAAGGCACGGAUACAUGGAGCAUAUAGCAAAUGGAGGCAUGUGACAAGUAAAGACAUGUAAUGAACAAGUAAAGAUAUGUAGUAAGUAAGGGAUGAAUCAAGUAAUAACUUGGAAUAAACGAAGGCAUAAUAUAAUUGGAAAUAUGUAAUUAAUUACUCCACCCCGCAUGCUUAAACACCUGACAACACAUAUACACUCAUCACCUUACAUAUAUGUCGUCCCCACACAUAAUUCAUGUAGAAAAUAAACCAAACAAGUCCUAAUUCCCUCAAAUCAAAGCUAACCACGAUACUUACUUCUGUUUCUUCAAGGUUGGGCUUCUUCUGCCUUUCUAACUACUUGAUCUCUUGUGGGAGGUUCUCAAGCAUCAUGCUUUCGUCGUACUCUUUGUAGUCUGGAUCAUUUUGAUCAAGGGUUUCGUUACAUGUCAUAAUCGCGGAGCGCGGAUUUUUAUUACUGAAAAGGAAAAGUAAGUAUAAAUAAGAGCGAAAAAAUGAAUUUGUAAUGAUUUUAGAAAAAAAAUAAUUCUUUUUAUUUCAUCAAAAGGAACGUCUCAACGUUCAAAGAGGCAAUUUGACAAAAAACGUACAGGCAUGGUUGAGGCCUAAAUUGAUCGUGCAUUUUUUAAAAUUACUACAAUUCUACACUACCAAUACUCCCGGCGAACCAGAGAUGGAUUGGCGAUCCAAUUUUGUAAGGCCUCUGCUGGUUCGGCAUCCCGAAUGGUCGGUUUCUUGAUAUCAGCUUCAUCACAACAUUCCUCGAUCAUAGUCACGAACAAUCUUCCUAUUCCAUCAAUGAUGUCAUCUUCUGGUGGUGAGCCCUGACCCGGACCUGGAACAUACACUGGUACAAAAGCCUUCUUCCCAAGAUUACCAGUAUAAGUCUUUCCAAUUGUAGGUUGAUACCCCAAGCCAGCGGUACCCUCCAGCCCUUUUGGUUCAAUUGGCUUUGUUAUCCCAUAUGAUUGGGCUCCUAGCUUGGUCCCUAGCCGGUACCCAUACUUCAUCAACUCUUGCAUUGCCAUCUUUGACCAGUACGACGACUGCAUACCGUGGUUCUGCUCAUUCUUCUCCAUCUCCGUUGCCUGCAUGAUCUCGACCGCAUGAAAGGUAACCCCAUCUAAUACUUUUACGAAAGGGACUGCGUGGUCCAAGUAAGCUAACCGGCUCCACUACCCAUGUAUCACAAUCUCUUGGCAAUCCCACUCGAAUUUCAUAUUGGGAACUCAACUGGUCCAAUCUGUAAGGCUAGGUAAAUUUCUCCAAUAACAUUCUUCUGCAACCCAUCGAAAGCCCUUACUCUUACACGGGUUUCUUUCACUUCCCUCAAAUGAAUACUCAAUUCUCGCACAAUAGAGAACAGUAAAAUAUUUACUCCGCAUCCUCCGUCGACAAGUACUCGGGAUAUAAUUUUAUCCUCACACAUGACUAUGAUGUGCAGAGAUCUGUUAUGAUCCAUAUUAUGAUAUGCAGAGAUCUGUUAUGAUCCAUACCCUCCACAGGGAGUUCAUCUAUCCGAAAGGAAAUCAUGUUUGCUUCGACCAUCUUUACAAUAGUUGUUGCUAACGCCUCGCUGGUAGUAUUGUCUGGCACACUUAUUCCGCUUAGAACCUUCACCAAAGCAUGCCUAUGACUGUCGGAGCUCAUCAAUAAAUCCAUGAUCGAUAUGUGAGUAGGGGUCUUCCUCAACUGUUCCUCCAUGGAAUACUCUUUAACUGGCAUCUUCGUCCAAAACUAUGUCGCUUCGGCAUCUGUUAUGUUUCUUCUUUGAUUCUGUUCUCUACUCGGAUUCCUUCGGUUCACCUCUUGUGGAGCGUAACAGCUUCCUGACCUGGUCAUCUCGUGAGUAGUUAUAGAGUCUAUCAUUCUACCCUUUCCUUUAUGCUCGUACGUCCACGACACUGUUUUGUAUUCUCAACUCUCCUCACUUCUGGCGGCAGCGGUGGACCAUUGUUCGUAUGUUUCCACCAUCACAAGAGGUUUCAACUGCACGGUAAUCAAAGAAGUCCUUCAGGGUGGCACCCUUGCAGCUUUGGCAUUCCCAAUAGUGAUGAUGGUACCCUUCAGAUCAUAAUCCAAGUCCAAUGCAAUCAUGUUGGCUCCUUGAUUUCUAUGAUUUGACAGUGGGGUACGAUUUACAUUUGGUGGAGCCGGGGUACAUUGUAUGGCUCCGUUUUUAAUUAGCAGCUCAAUUUCAUUAUUCAAUCUAUAUCAGUCCUCAGCGUCGUGCCCAGGAACACCAGAAUGGUAUGCACAAUAUUUGGUCGCGUCAGAAUAUUUGGAGGGUUGGUCAGAGAUUCUUCCUUCCACUGGGUAUAUCAGCCUGACUCUCUUUAGACUUUCAAACAACUAGGCUAAGGAUUCAGAGAUUGGAGUGUAGUUUAUGGGAAUUCUUUCUUCAAAGUUUGGGCGUGGUCGUGGUACAUAGGCGAGUCUAUUUUGAUGGGUGGUGGUUUGGAAUGGAGCAUAUGGUCAUGGUGCUCGGGGUGGGUUGUAUUGAGGUCUAGCAUUGUAGUAUAGUUGGGUGUUAUAUACUGAGGCGUAGGUAGGUUGAUGUGAAGGAUGAGUUUUUAUGGGGUAGGAAUUAUUUCUGUGAGGAGGACUAUACUGAUAGUAGGGAACAAUUAUUGCUACUUCCUCUUUCUUCUUCUUCUUCCUACUACCUAUAGAACCAGAUUGUGUUGCCUUUCUGGCAUCUUGCAGCGUGGCCAUCGACUGUAUUUUGCCUGAUUUGAUGCCUUCCUCCAAGUAGUCUCCUAUCCUAACCAGCUCAGAAAAUUUCUGACACAUUAUACCUAUCAUCUUUUCAAAAUAAAUCCCCUCUUGGGCCCUGAUGAAAUACUUGGUUAGCUCAUUAUCGUCGAGUGGGGGUUGGGUUCUGGCAGCCUUCGAUCUCCAGUGGCGAGCAUACUCUUGAAACGAUUCUGAGGGUUUCUUUUGCAAAUUCACUAAGUCCAACCUGUCUGGUGUGAUAUCGGUAUAAAACCCGAAUCGGUUCAUAAAAUCCUUUGCCAUGUCUUUCCACUCUCUCCAAUUUCUGGGAUCCUGGCGGGUAUACCAAGUGAGCGCUUCUAUUGUUAGACUCCUUUUAAAUAACUUCAUUCUCAGCUUUUCAUUUCUUCCUAUCCCGAUCACCUUAUCGCAGUAGGCCUUCAAAUGCGCAUGGGGAUCACCCGUUCCAUUGAAAAUGUCAAACUUUGAAGGCUUAUACCCUACAUGCAUGUCAACAUCGGGAUGUAUACACAAGUCCUCAUAAUCCAGGCUCCCGCUCCCUAGAGCAACUUGGAGAUUCUUCAUCUGCUUUCUGAAUACUCGCAACUCUUAUAACAUUGAUUCAUCUCCCUUGUACUUUUCUUUUUUCUCCGUCUCAGCAUAUUGAUCAAUCUCAUAUGGCACUCUAACCGUUAUGGGCAUGGUAAAGAUGGGUUCUGAGGUGGCAUAUAUAGGGGGAAUAUACCACCUUAUGUGUGGCAGUGUGUGCCGCAGGUAUGUGCCGGGUCUGAUUAUUGGCAAAAGUGACGUUGUCACGAGGAGGGGUAUGAAUUAGUUGGUGGUGACUGGUAUAUUUUGUGGUGUUUGGAUAUAAUUCAGGACAUAGGGUGUAUGUAUACGAGGGUUUGGUGGAUUACUGGGGGCUACUGGUGGUAUAACUUAGGUUGUGGGAUUUGUGGUGACAGUGGUUGGGGUACUGGUUAUUUGUCGGGUGGUUGAAGAGAAAUGAUUAGGGAUUGAAUCUAAUGAAGGGAAGUAGAGUUGUUGCGGAAGCGUCGUCACAACCAAGUGUGCUAGUUCCCGGAUAUGCUGUACUUCCUCGCUCAAUGACUCCAUUUUUUGUGCCAUUCUAGCAACGUGCUCAUCAUUUCAAGUAUCAUGCUUUUCUCUCGAUUGCCUUGGGUUGUCGUCUAUUACUAGAGCAUUUCUGGCCGGGUUGUCAGUUGCAUACAUCUUUCCCUUAGAUCUCAGAUUGUACAGUGGCUCGGCCAGGUUUACGUAUCAACAUAAACCAACCUCUAUUUUCAGGGGAUAAAAAUAAAGAAAUAAAGUGAGAAAAUAAGGAAAAGUAAAAGUUAGUUUCAGAAAUUGCACAAAUAUAAGCACAUAGGGAAGUUAAUUCACGUGUUCAGAUAAGCGCAUUUCCUAAGAUGCGUAGGACCUCUCUUUGCCAGAGGUAGGCCUAUAUCGCGAAUGUUUGGCGAAUAAUCAGAUUUUGACACGUUUAGAUACAGAGCAAACUGUGGUCUUUCAUUGAUAGGCUUUGGAUUAUAAUAGAUGGGAGCGGUGGUUAAAACAUUGUGUUUCAAAGUUCACAAGAUUACAUGGGCUCAUAGGCUUGCCCUUAGGGAAAUGAAAAGGGUACAAGAUAAAGAGAAAUCAACCAACCACUAAUAAUCGUCCCCAGAUUCACCUCCCAAGCUUUCUUCUUCAGGCUCCUCCUCAAGGUCCUCUUUGACUUCUUCCUCCUCCUCGUCGUUGUUGUACUCAGGCUCUUCUUCGGGAUCCUCUUCUAGUUCUAUUUUUGAUUCAAUUUGUAUCUACUGGAUCACCUGAUGAUCGUCCUCCAGUGGUGGCAACAUGUUGUCGACCUACCCUGGAACUACUUGCCAAUGCAUGGCGGGGCUAAUGAGAUAGUGGGGUAGAAUCUCAUGGUAUAUAUGCAGAGCUGCUGCUAAAUACUCUAGUGUUAGUCACUCUCUACUAGGUCUGGCUAACUCAUCCUCCUCAUUGUCCACAUGAAGUAUUCAGGAGUGCACCAGGAAUUCUGACCCAUUGGCAUCAUGAUCAAGUCAUUCCAUUCAUCUUGAAGUCUCUUCACCCUUGGGAUUGAAAUUUGUCCAUUGUAGUUAUCCUCGUAUAAAGCAGUCCUUGACCAAAGGGGCACAUCUUAGAUCAGACCAAAUUGCCUUAGAACCCACAGAGGUGCAUAUGGCUAAAUUCCUUCAAGUCCCACCAACUUGAUGAAGUAUUUUCCGUGGCUCCUUAAGAUUGCCCUGCCAUUUAACCAUGAAAGCUUCCAGUUUACCCAUUCUCCACUCAGAUAGGUCAGCAUGCCUCUCCACUCCUCUUGCCCGUGCGGUGCAACCCAAUGAAUCAUCCUCUUGUUAUAGCUCCUGAUCAUGUUACUGACGUCCAUAAAAUAGUCGACUGUUGCCUCCCUCUAAAAGAAAUGUUCUGUGGCCCAUAUCUGGAGUAGUGGGUAGCAGCCUUUGAAAAAUUCAUAUCCUAUAGAGCAUGCUGACAAAGCCCGAAAUGUCUCUGCUAAUAUCAUGUUAACAAGGGUGACUUGCAGAUUCCCUUAAAUGGGUACCAAGACGAGGGGCAACAGGUUGAUGUUGAUUCAUCCUUUUCUUUGCGGGAAGACCAGUAAUUCCAACAAUGCCAGAGAAAAGGUUAGAGGGCGUAGACUCUCCCACGUUGCUUGAUCGCAAUGAAACUCCUUCGAAUGCCACUCGUAACUUUCCUAGUGUCCGAAUCUGCCGAACAUCUAGUCCAAACUCACCCAUCCAUCUUCAGUGUUUCUCAAAUUCCUGUUGUUUGUCAGACCGAAUGAAUGAAGGAACCAGUGGCCGGGCAUGACAACUGGUAGUAUUGGUUUUCUCCCGGCAAACGACAAUAUGAAGCUAGCGUUUCUUCCUAUGUUGGUGCCAAUUCACAAUCGAAGAACUGACAAAGCCGUUCUAUGCAACUAGAGAGUUUUGAAAGAAGGUUUGGAGGGGUAUAAAAGACAACCCUCGCAUGUCAUUUGUGUGUGAUAUUGUACGGCCAAGACUCGAUAGGAAAAAAUGUGAUGACAGUGUAUAAAGCAAUAAUAGAUAAUUGGGAUAACAGUAGCAAUAUUAAGAUCAAUCAAAUUAGUACAUGUUAAACAAGAUAAGUAAGCACGUAUUUUCAAAGUUAAAGCAUAAUUAAAGCAUAUAAACAAAUGUCCUUAAAUUUUAGAUCUAGCCUAAGUCUGCUACGAUCAGAACCUAUGUGUAAGAACUUUGGAGGCUUGCACCCUGCCAACAUAUGAACAUCAGGGUGUAUACAUAGGUCCUCAUAAUCCAAGAUCUCGCUCCCUCGAGCACUUGGAGAUUUUUCAUCUACUUCCUUAUUACCCGUAGGUAUUCCAAUAGUGACUUAUUUUCUUUGCAUUUUGAUUCUCUCUCUAUUCCGGCAUAUUGGUCUAUCUCAUAAGGCACUCUGACCGUGACAGGUGCGAUAAAAGUGGGUUCUGAUACGGUAUAUAUGGGUGGAACAUAUUUCUCAUGUGUAGCGGUGUGUGCCAUAGGUAUAUAUUGCGUAUGGGUGUUGGUGAAAGUGAAGUUGCCAUGAGGAGGUGUGUGGACCAAAUUGGUGCUGGUCGGUUGAUUUUGUGGUGCUUGGACAUAGUUGGGAACAUAAGGUGUGUGUAUGGGAGGGUCUUGUUGAUUUGUGAGGGUUACUGGCGGUACGACUUAAGUUAUGGCAUGGUUUGUGGUGAUAGCACUUGGAGUAUAGUUGUUUGUCAGUCGAUCGAGGAAAGUGGUCGGGGAUUGAAGCAAGGGAUGGAAAAUGUGGUGGUUUUGGAAGCGUCGUCACGGCCCGGUGUAUCAACUCCCGGAUUUGUUGUACCUCUUCUCUUAAUGACGCCAUCUCCUAUUCCAUUCGGGCAACAUGUUCGUUAUUCCGAGUCUCGUCCCUUCCCCCUGAUCCCCCUUGGUUGUCGGCUACCACCAAAGCAUUUCCGCCCAGGUCGUCUAUAGAAGUCAUCUUCCCUUUAGACCUUAGGUUGUACGGUGGCUCGGCCAGUUUAUAUAUCAACACAAAUCAACCUCUGUUUCGGGGAUAAAUAAAUAAAGCAAUAAAGCAAGAAAAUAAAGAAACGUAAAAGUCAAUCUCAGGGAUUGCAUAGAUAUAAUCACAUAGAGCAGUUAGUUCACAUAUUCAGACAAGCAUAUUUCCUAAGAUAUGUAAAGACCUCUCUUUGCUGGAGGUAGGCCUAUAUCGUGAGUAUUUGACAAACAAUCAAAUUUUGACACAUUCAGAUCUGGAGAAAACUUAAUUUUUCAUUGAUGGGAUUUGUGUGUUUCAAUAUGGCUUCAUCACUGCUACAAAGAUGGGGAUAGCUAUCACUAGCUACAACAUGAUUCUCAAAGUUUACAUUAGGUUGAAUGGGCUUAUAGAAUCGCCCUUAGGAAAUGAAAAGUAAAAAGUACAAAAGGGGAAAUCAGCCAUCAACUUAAUAGUCGUCCCCGGAGUCUCCUCCCAAGCUCUCUUCUUCUGGAUCUUCUUUAGGAUCCUCUUCAACCUCCUCCUCAUCCUCAUCAUGGUUGUACUCUGGUUCUGUCUCAAACUCGAUCUGUAUGUAUUCGACUAUCUGGUUGUCAUCAUCCAGCGAUGGCAGCAUGUGGUCGACCGAUCCUGAAACUACAUGUUGAUGCAUAGCAGUGGUGACGAGAUAGUGAGGUAUGAUCUCAUGGUAUAUCUGUAAGGCUGCUAUCGAGUCCUCUAAUCAGGUUAAUCCCUUUUCUACUCAGCCUGGUCAAUUCAUCUUCUUCAUUGAUCCACACAAAGUACUCAGGCGUGCACUAGUGGUUUUGCCCCAUUCUCAUUGUGAUCAGGUCGUUCCACUCGUUCUAGAGCCUUCUUACGCUCGAGAUUGGAAUCUGCUCGUUAUAAUCACCCUCAUACAAAGUUGUCCUUGACCAAAGAGGCACAUCUUGAACCAAACCAAACUGCCUCAGAACCCUAAGUGGUGCGUACAACUGAAUCUCUUCUAGACCUACCAACUCGAUGAAGUACUUCCCUAGGCUUCUCAGGAUCGCUCAACCACUCAACCAAGAAAGUUUCCACUUGAUAAAUUCUCCACUCAGAUGGGUCAAAAGUUCUCGCCACUCCUCCUGGUCAUGUGGUGUAGCCCAAUAUCUUAUCCUUUCAUUAUGCAUGCGGAUCAUGUUACCAGUGCCAACAAAGUAGUCAAUGUCGUCUCCCUCUGGAAGAAAUGCUCCAUAGCCCAUAUCUGUAGUAGCAAGUUGCAGCCCAUUAAGAAAUCGUAUCCUCUUGAACAUGUCGACAGUGCUCUUAACAUCUCUGCCAGUAUCAUAGGAACAAGGGUGACCUGUAGAUUUCCUCGGAAGGUAGCCAAAACCAAAGGAAGUAAGUUGAUAUUGAUCCGCUCUUUCCUUUGUGUGAAAAUUAGAAGUUCCAAAAGUGCUAAAGAAAAGUUCAGGGGGCGAAGGCUCUUCCAUGCCGCUUGAUCACACUGGAACUCCUCAAGAUGCCACUCAUAGCUCUUCCGGUGCCGAAAUUCCUGUUGCUCCUCAGACCUAGUGCAUAGAGGAACCUAUGGUGUGGCAUGAUGAUCGACAGUAUUGGAUUCCCCCAAGCGAAUGGUAACUCAGUGAAACUAGUAAUCUCCUCCAGUGUUGGCGUUAGCUUAAAAUAAACAAAUUUGAAAGCCACCUUGGCUAGGUCCCAAAACACUAUCAGCAACCUGGAGAGUACCUUGUCAGCUUGGAUGUUCAUUAGUGCAGUCAACACUCCUAAGUGCAUCAUGAUCUUGUCCCCGUGCUCCCAUUGAUUGUUCCUCCACCACUGCUUCAAUUUGUGAGUUCACCCAUGACCAUGUUAAUCUCCAGGACGUUGCGGCUGAUUUUCAUCUAAAGGGGUGAAAGGUUUGUUAAGUGUUUUGCUCUAAAUCAUUAGUGUCUUAUUUGGAUUGAUUCGUCAUUCCAUAGAAAGCACAUCAUUUGGGCGCAUGACCCGUUGACAUUAAAGUUUCUUUUCUAAUUGUGAGUCAUACCAAGAAUCGAUCCACCUAAGGUUUAUGCAUCAUGGCUUAUAUUUACUAAUAGUAGAGUGUUUUCUAAUUUUGGAGUUGGAUUGAAUAACUGUGAGACAUUAUGUGAGUUGCACUGACAAAAUCGUUCUCUGAAAACUAUAGAGUUUUGAAAUAAGGUUCGAAGGGGUGAAAAUACAACCCUCGCGUGCCAUUGUGUGUGAUUGUGUACGGCCAAGACUCAUAUUUGCAGGAAACAUGUGAUGAUAAUAAUAGUAACAUGUGUAUAAAGUAGUAACAGAUAAUAAUAAUAAUAAUAAUAAUAUAAUUAAAUAGGUAACCAUAUAUCGACAUGUUAUAAAGUAUAAACAAGUAGGAUGAAGCGAGUAAACACAUAUUUGCAGGUUAAGCAUAAUUAAAGUAGAAUAUAACAAAACAUCCCCAAGUUCAAGUCUAGCCUAAAUCUGCUAAGGUCAGAACCUAAGUGUGCAUCCCUAGAAGAGUCGCCAUGUUGUUGCAACCUAUUUUGCACUAGUCAAACCAAUAUACAACUAAUGGUUCUUUGAAAAUUGAUAAAAGAGAGUCGCCACCUAAUAUUUAAGGUAUAUUACGGUAACUAUAAGUCUGUGAAAGUUAUUAUCCUAAUGGUCUGCUAACCAAUAAAAUUAUGGGUAAGGGUUUUAGUUAUUCUAAGGGGAAGGUAUCAGGCAUCCCUUAAAAUCCACCUGAGGUGGCUCCUUAAACUUAGUCUAGGGAUGCAAUAUUCCAGCAUAUGGGGAAAUCUUUGGACAAUCAUUCAUAAGGCGAACAAUUGGUUAAGUUGGGUUCUUCAUUUGCAAGUUGUGCUAGCUCAUUAUGUACUUCAUGUUGAGCGUAAUGCUCAACUUUGGUAAUAGGAUUGAUGUAAUUUCAUGCUUUAGUUUUCUUUACUUUGUGAGACCUCCUGACAAUAUUUUAUAUUUUGUUCUUAUUAUUAAUAAAAACUACCACUAAGCACACAGCUUAGUGGUAUAUUAGCCUUUUAAAAAUAACUUAGGCUAGAUUUGGGGGAAAAGGUCAAUAUUCUGCUUAGUUGGAGGUUAACGUUGCGAAGUAAAAUUUAUCAAAAAUGUUUAAGUUUGUUUAGAAGCUCAUUAUUUUGGAAAAGGUUGUGUGCUUUCUUUUAAAAGACUGAUGUUUGUUAGUGAGAUUUUAUAACUUAAUGAAUAAGAGACUAGUAAAGUAUACCUUAGUUGAAAAUGAUUAUACCUUGUUUGUUGAAAUGCCUUAUGUUUCAAGCUCAUUUGUUCUUUCCUGUAAGAACGGACAUAUGUAAUUAUUUUUAUUUUCUUUGAAACAAAGCUUGUAAUUUUUAUGAGACCCGUUCAGUGAUUUUCCAAGAGAAUUUGUUUUUGUUUUUCAAUCUGCCAAGAAGCUUAAAAUCACUGAAGUUGUUAGUGGUGAACAUAAGUAAAUUAUUUGUUUAGUGAAAGAUUAGUUUAAACUAUUAAAGCUUAAUAUGCUAAGGUAACGAAAAAGCAGGCAAGUUUAAUAAUUCUAUUUAACCUUCUUACCUAUAAGUCUUGGUUUGCCUAUGUCUCAUAAACAACCAAAAUAUCAAACAAUAUCCAAUAGUAAUGUUAGUUUGAUAUACACAGAAUAAUUAAACAAUAAUAUUUAUUGUCUAAAAAAUGAGAGGGAGGAAAGGAUUGGACUCUUUAGCCAUUGGGCUAGUAAGCAAACCAGGCCCAAUAGGAUUUAGUUCAUCAGCGGUAGACUUCAACAAAAGCAGGAAAGGAAGCAAUCUGGAUCUGGAACUUAGACCUGAGUCCCAAAGGAACUCAGUAGACCCAAUUCAAAAUACGCAUACAAAAUAUUAAGAAGGUAGUUAAUGUAUUUCAAUAUAGAAUGAAGCAAGAUAAAGAUCAUAACAAAUAAUGAUAAUAAAGAACCAAGGAAUAUAGUAGAGCCAAUUUUAUUUGUGUUAAUCCUAUGAGAAUUAAUAAAAGUUGGUGACUAAAGGCUUAGGGUAAACCCUCAUUUUUGGAUAAAAUCCCAUUGUGAACCCAUGACACUUCAGAGUUCACAAGGGUCUCACGGAUCUCGAGCAGUGCUUGUGUCAGGGAGGGGUACCUUGACCACAAACCAAGUUCUACACCGAAAUACCCUUAGUAACCCACUAUAACUCUUCCUCAAAGGUUUAGACACAAAUAAAGUGUCAACUCAGUUGUUUCACAUUGACAGGAUGAAACCAGUAAAUAUAAAGGAUCAUGGCAAAACUUCCAAAGGCCCAAACACACAAAAACUCAAUAACUUUAAACAAAUAGGACACUGUAGUUGAUCAUCAGAACACAGAAACAGCUUAGGACACAACAUUGACCUAAGAAAAUUCAUAUCAGAGUAUGGAGCAUAAAGAUAGGGUAUUACAAUAUGCAUAGAGUCACUAUUAGGGCAUAAUCAAGCAGGAUCACAGAGCACAUGCAAUUGAUUACACAUGGACAUGCUUCAUUACUUAUAAUUUCAAGCUCAGAAGUGUUAUCAGGCAAUCAAUAUCAUAUAGAGAUGAGCACAAGCAUUUGUUUUAUUGGUUUCACUAAAGGUUCAAUGUUUCUAGAGCUCCCCCAAGUAGAUUUAGGUUCCAAGAAUAAUUCCCAGGUAUCCUAAUGGUUCAACAUAGUUCAUAAUAAACAUACAUCAAACUAAGACGUCUCUACUAAACACUUAGACUAAUGGUUUCAUUUAGAAUCCCUAAAAGGCAUGCCAACUAAUCAGGCCAGCAGAGACAUCAACCUAAAUGGAAAAGUUAAUUUUAGUCUUGUUUAAUCUUGAUGGCAUGAUAUCUAGUUAUAACAACACAUAGUCCAUCAAACUUUCCAGCAAUCAAACCCAAACAACUUCAGAUUAAGUCCUCCAUAAGCAAUGAUAUUAACAAGCAUAAGACAACAAACAAUGACAUUCCUUUUAAUUUGGUGAGGCAAACAGACUCCAAUAAGUUAACACUAUGGAAAUAUAGACCGGUUCAUUAGUAGGGUAUGUUAAAACUAGUCAAAUCCAUGAUUUUGUAUACAGGCUGUCAUAAUGACAUGGUUUCAUGACCAAGUUUACUAGCUAGAGUUAUUUGAGUAAGAACAUGUCAUUAUGGGAAUUACACACAGAUCUCUUAAGGAUAAUUAUUCACUGAACUGAAACCACUACAACACCAUAGAAAGGUCAUGAUUACUGCAAUGCACAAAGUCCUAAUAGGUUAACACACAAAUAUAAACACAAAGUUCCUUAAGACAAGGUCGUGUAAUGGUCCAUGAGCACAACAGAACUUAACAUGACAGAUGUGAGCUCAGGUAUAAAAAUUAAGGAGAGUCAUCCAAUUAACAUACAUUAAAGGUUUCAAGUAGCCAUUACUAUAGGGUUCAUAGUCAUAGAAAAUAGCAAAGAAACAUGGAAAGUGGGCAGAUUAAGGGAUAGCUAUGCUAACAAGUUCACCACAUGAUUUCAAACCAUAAUGAUAGGCAUACAUAAGAUGUUUUGAACAUACAUGGUAUUAAUGACAAGAUUGCCAGCUAAGAUCUCAAAGUAGACAUAUCAGAUAUGAGACGUGAGUUAUAAUAAGAAUCAUUUAUUGGACCAAAAUAAGGCAGCAUAACUUCACAAGCAUGAUGAUCAUACUACUGGAGAUAUGGUAUCUCAACAGGACAUCAAGAAGGAUUCAGAAACAUGAUUUGAUUAACUUAUCUAACGUGACUGUGUCUAUAUCAUUAUUAUCUUUGUUUUCUAGGGAUGAAUCACACAUAAUAUCAUUAACAUAAGGUUUAAUCUAUUUAAUCAUGAAGACUUAACAAGAUUUGUUCAUAAGGAUAGUACAGAAUCAUCUUAACUAAUUAAACCAUGGAGUUAAGGUUCAAUAAUCAUCAUAGAUCGAAUAUAAACACAAAGCAAUAUAACUACCAGGAAACAUCAAUAUUCUUAGAAGAAACAGAGUAUUAUGAAUAACAAGACAUAGUGAAAGCCACAUAUUAGCAUGCUCAGCAGGUGAUUAUCAGUGUUAACGACAUAAACAUAGAAUUACAUAGCUAGUUUAGGGAAUGUUAAAGAGAAAAGGUCAGUAUCCACUGACCUUUUAUGGAGCAGCAAACCAAGUAAAUGCUAACAGCCAUCUAAGAUCUCCAAACUUACAAUGAUCAACUCACAGUAGAUUGAAAUCGAGCAGAAUGAAAGGAAGAAAAGAGGAAAUUCGAUAACUACUACUGGAAACUCAAACUUAGCAUAAAGCCUUAAAUUUAAUGCUCUUCUUGGUAUUUUUAUGUAUCUCUUAGUUUUCUGAUCGUACUCAGUGUGUGUUAGGUGAAGACAUUGAAUUGCCUAUUUAUAGUGGCAUUCAAGAUACUUAGGGUAUUGAUAGGUUCAAAUUGAUAGUGGGUGGUGACGAUAGUUGGAUGAUGAUAGCAAUACAGUGAGAUCAGAGAUGAAUUGAGGGGAAACAAUGUAGACGUUUACCUGGGCACGAGGAUGGAGGAGGAAGACCGUUGGAGCUAUUGGACCAUUGGUCAAAGCCAAAUGUCUAGAGGUCACUGUGUUUAAUCUCUGGACAUCGAAUACUUAUGAUGAAUCUGAUAAUCUGUGGACAUGCAUUCCUGAUUCAACGGGAUGGAGGAAGGACUUAUGGUAUCCCAAUUUGUGCAUUUUAUGUCCAUGGUUCUGAUUUGGGAUUUUGAUUUGAAUCGAUGGAAAUGGGAUGGAAGCCGGCGUGAUUCGCGGCUAUCAGGGACAAAGGAGAUGAUUGAGGCUUGAAUCGAGUGACCUUGCACAAAUUUGUGCAAGGUUUUUUAUUGAUAGGUUAUGAUGAAGAUGAGAGAAAAGAGAGAGAAAGGCAAAACUAGGGUGGCCGGGUGGGGUGAGAGAAUGAUUUUAGGGUUAGGGGUCUCUUAGGCUUAAAGUGAGA